CUACGAAGGGGCGCACGUUGCGUGAAUCACUGGGCGUAAAGGGUGCGUAGGCGGGUCUUUAAGUCAGGGGUGAAAUCCUGGAGCUCAACUCCAGAACUGCCUUUGAUACUGAGGAUCUUGAGUUCGGGAGAGGUGAGUGGAACUGCGAGUGUAGAGGUGAAAUUCGUAGAUAUUCGCAAGAACACCAGUGGCGAAGGCGGCUCACUGGCCCGAUACUGACGCUGAGGCACGAAAGCGUGGGGAGCAAACAGG
rnacentral:rRNA from 1 species